GAUUGGGGACAGCCUGUGUCGGGAACUCACGUGGACAGCAAGGGGAGCUGACAAAGGCGUUCCCUGGGGUUGAGACACUCAGUGGAGGGCUCCGAUCGACAAUGCUUGUCAAUACAGAGAUGGCAUGAGGUCAGCCUGCCGGGCCCAAUGCAGAUGCUGGCUGGAGGCGGGCAUCACUGAAUGAAAGUUUUGCCUAUUGCACUCUGGGCUCUGGCUUAGUGUCCUCCAGUCAUGGCUUUCCUUCCAGAAGGUGUUCUUAGGAGAGGGCUGAGAGAGAAUCUCUAUAGACAGGUUAAGAGCGAAGACGGUGGAGCUGGGCGUGGUGGUGUGCCUGUAAUCCCGGCACUUGGAAUUGGCAGGAUGAUGACGACUUUGACAUAAAGGCUUUCAGGAUAUAGGAUGCUCGACCUCCGGAAGAGGUCUCAACCCACAGGUUCAGAACCGCUGCUCUAGAACAUUUCAUCAAGUUGCCUCUCCAGUUAGGGAAUCGAGGCCUGAGAGUUGAGCUUGUCUGAGGUCGCUGGUGGCAGCUCCCCAGCCUUGUUUCCCUGCAUAGGCUGAUGCUUUCUGAUCGCAGUAAUGAGCGGUAACAACUGGACCCUCGUCCCACGUGGGUGGAAACACAUUGCCUAUCUCAGGGUGAAGCUCGGAGGCCUGAGGCAGCCAGGGAAGAAAACCAAGGUUGACAGCUCCCAGUUUAAGAACCUGAUAUUCUAUAAAUGAAAAAAGACCAGCUGCCUGUCCCAUCACCAUUGAAUGCGAAGAACCACUUUAUCUUGACUGCCUCCCUUAAAACCUUCUCUGGUCACCUAUACCUGAGGGCCAAUUGGCUAAGGCCUUCAGGACUCCUGAGACAUGUUUUUGCACACACCUUUCCUCUGUCCCUGCACUAUACCCAGUGAUCUACCUAGCAGAGCAGGGCUUCCUCACGCUGCAGAGACCCCUGGCCAUGCUUCCAGCCUUGCUGUGGAGAUGAACCUUCUGGGACCCUUUCCUCCUCUGAGUAGCUAUUCACUCGCUUCCCCACCUCCUCAACAUGUAAAACAAAUGUCUACAGUAAACACCUGACAGGCCACAUUGUAAUUAUUUACUUACCGGUCCUCCCUGGACUAAGAGCCCCUCAAGUGGAAAUUCUAUCUCGUUCGUUACUAUCCCUAGUGCCACUCUAGUCCUUGGCAUACAGAAGACACACAACAUUUAUUUGUUGACUGAAUGAAUGAAAAUAAGGAGACUUAGUCCCUACCCAAAGGACCAGGACUUAAGACUUCAAUUUAAGCACUGGAAAAGGAUCAAUAAGCUCUGGAGUGGAUUCUAAUGGUAUGGUUCCUCUAGCAACUGAACACAUGUAUUAGACAGAGAACACCCAGCCUUACAGGAGCAACCCUUUCAUUUCUAACCAUCUGGAGCCUGCAAGUACUUCUCAGCAGGAGGGCAGGCAACCAGGCCAGAGCUGGCUGCAGCUUCCUCCUUUCCAUGGGCUCACAGCAGCGCCAGUAGCACCCGUGGAAAUUCUGCUCAUGCAUCAAGGAGAAAACGGCCACCAAGAACGCAGCUGCUUUCCUUAUCGCCAAGACAUCUUACCCUCCAGCUGACACCGAUGACAUCUUUUGGGUAGCAAGCAAUUUGUUCUUAACUCACUCUGGACCCCUAAGUUAGCAGAACUCCUGGGUCGCUUAUGAAGGAGGCCUUCUCUUUCCCCUCUCUCCUUCCCCUCGUCUCCUCCCUAGAGCCAGGUAUCACCAACUUGACCAAUCCAAAUGCUUUAGAAACUGCCUGUUGCAGGAUAUUUGAUCACAUUGUGAGAUUGCUAUUUGCUG
ensembl:antisense